UACCAGCACCCCGAGUAGUCGGGACGAUUAUUGGGCCUAAAGCAUCCGUAGCCUGUUCUGCAAGUCCUCCGUUAAAUCCACCCGCUUAACGGAUGGGCCGCGGGGGAUACUGCAGAGCUAGGAGGCGGGAGAGGCAAACGGUACUCAGUGGGUAGAGGUAAAAUCCAUUGAUCUACUGAAGACCACCAGUGGCGAAGGCGGUUUGCCAGAACGCGCUCGACGGUGAGGGAUGAAAGCUGGGGGAGCAAACCGG
rnacentral:rRNA from 1 species